rnacentral:rRNA from 1 species
UACGGAGGGUGCGAGCGUUGUCCGGAAUCACUGGGCGUAAAGGGCGCGUAGGCGGCCUGAUAAGUAGGGGGUGAAAUCCUGCGGCUUAACCGCAGGGCUGCCUUCUAAACUGUCAGGCUAGAGCACAGUAGAGGCAGGUGGAAUUCCCGGUGUAGCGGUGGAAUGCGUAGAUAUUCGCAAGAACACCAGUGGCGAAGGCGGCUCACUGGUCCGGUACUGACGCUGAGGUGCGAAAGCGUGGGGAGCAAACAGG